CGCGGUGGGAGGCUGUGGAACGCAAAUACUGAUGAGAAACUUCUGAGAAGACCCUCCAGAAUAGCCUCCACAUUCACGGUGUGUUCUAGACCCCGUGGUUCUCAAGGACGAUGGGAGUAAUUUUUCCCUCUAUGGAAUAUUUGGCAAUGUCUCGAGACAUUUUUGCUUCUCAUAACUGGGGCGGCAUGGGGGACAGUCCACUUCCGGUGAGUGGAGGGAGUAGUGGCCAGGGAUGGGGUGGGACCGGAGUGGUGCCCAGGACAGCCCACAGCAAGGAACGGUUCACCCACAGCAUCAUUAGCGCUGCUGCUGAGAAACACUGAAGGGAGAGCAGGUGCCUGAUUCCACCUCUGUGUCUUUUUUUAUUUUUUUACACUAUGUAAGUUUAAGGGAGGAGGGAAGUAGGCUUACUGAGCUAUAGUAUGACCAGAUAAAGCCUCCAAGCCUAGAUAAAGCCUCUAGGUGUACCCCCUGAACCUUUUUUUAAUGGAAAUGUGACAUCCUUGUUUUGACUUCUUGCAAUAAGUGUGUUUCUGAAGUGGAGGGAGCCAAGCAUCCCAGUUAAUGGAGGGAUCUGAGCUGCGCUUCACAAUGGCAGUCAUAUUAAGGGCAUUAGUCAAAUUGCAGGAAAAAAAAAUCAGCCCUCAAUGUAAUCAGAGCUCAGGUGGUGACACUGGCCAGACCACAUGUGCCUUCGGGGCCACAGCUGACUCUGUAGAGGAAGGGGCUUUGCUGAGAUCAUGUCUGAGACCCUUAUGUCAAGUUCCUUCUUUUAGAGUCAUACUGUGGAUGCACAGAGAAUGCCCUAAGUCUAGACAAAAGUGAUGGAGUGGUUUGACCGAUACCGCUUAAAGGGGAAAGACACAUUUAAACGAGGAGUUAGGAGUGUCCCUUUGGGGAUCUAGUGGUCCAGGACUGUGGAGAAGUAGAAUGCUUGCAGAGUUAGCAGAUGUGAAGGGGCGAGUCCACACACUCCUCGGCGCACCUCCCUGUCUCUCUGAUGUCUGCACCUGUGGGUGUCUGCCCUGAGAAGACUCGAGGUGCGAUGGAGGUGGAGGUGUUCAGCAUGGGAAGGGCCUCAGGGCAGAGCUAGCAGAACCCAGCUGACCCCUCGGUCAGCCCCUGCCCGGUGUUCUCCCUCCACCGUCCCCCGCCACCAAAAACCUACAGGGACAGAUGUCAUCGGGUCUUUGCUACAACGUGGCAUGUUUGAGGGGGACCUCAGGACCUGAAAAGCAGGGUAAGUCCGUGUGUAGAACGUGAAUCAACAUUUGCAUUUCUGUCCAAUUGUUCUGACAAGGUUAAAAUGAGGUCCCAAAAAACUCACCAACAAGCUUCCCAGUGGAAAAAGUUACCUCGCCAAAGGAAAUAAUAUUUCAAAGCAUUGAAUGGAAGAACAUUUAAAGGUCAUAAGAUAGAAUUUAAGCCCAGAGGAUGACUUUUUCUUGGCCCUACUUGCCAACUCUAUAGACCUAAACAAGUUACACCUAGAAGAUACGCAAAGGGAAGAGCAUCUGGCAACCAGACUUCCGUACCAGUCUGUUGAUUUUACUCAACUAUCAGAACGUGGCCAGGCUCCCGGGUCCGCCCGCUCCUUUCCAUGUCCACCUUCACCAUUUCAACCCAGUUUAAAGAGUCAUCUGCCUAGUAAGCCUUUUUAAGAUUUGUUCUAGUCCAUUCUUUUUUUUUUUAAGGGAGGGUGAAUAAUUAGGUUUCUUUAUUUUUUUAGUGGAGACACUAGGGGUUGAACCCAGGACCUCGUGCGUGCUAGGCACGUGCUCUAGCAGAGCUUUACCUCCCCCCACCCCCCGUUCUAGUCCAUUCUGUUUAUAACUGAUUACCUGUUUGCUGUGCUCAGGAGUCAAGGCCUGACUUUAUUUUGCCAUCAACAGCAUUGUUGAGGAUCUUUGUUAAGCUCUGGGCAGAGAGAGAGGAUUGGAACAAGGUACUCGAGGAGACAUCAGGGAACCGGAAAUCCAGCUGGGAAGGCAAGACACAUACAAAAUUGCUGCAGAGUGACUCAUGGUACCACCAUUCACAAGGCAAGGAGGAAGUAACUCCACCCAUCGCGGAGUCACACUGUGCAGUUUCCCAGGCUGGAGGGGGUCGUGCUUGUCACUGUCGCUGUCAAGAUGGCCCAUUGCACUCAUAGACUGGGUCACAAACUGAACCAUGCUCUUCUUCUGCCCGUAACUUCGAAUUGGGAGACCAAGCAAGUAAAGUGAGGAUUUAUUAUUAUGGCAUGCUCUCAAGGGGAGAGGAGGCAGACUCAGAUACUCCCUUUUGUGCCCAGUGUAGACCAGAUGUUGAUAAUAUAAAUAUAUAAACAUAAAUAAGAUAUGGUUUCUGCCCUCAAAGAGCUCAUAAGCCAAUUGGAGAGAAAGAUGGGACACAGAUAAAAGCACAGGAUGGUGGCUUCUGCCCGUCCAGGCAUAACAUCUGCUUUCCAGUCAGCCAGAAAUGGGAGAGGCACAUCUUGCCUUUUUAUUUUGGAACCCAGAAUCCAGCCCAGAGAGUGAUGCCUACGUCUUUUCAGCCAGAACUGCAUUGUACAGCUACUCUUAGAUGCAAGGAUAAGAGGAAGGCCUUCUGUCACUUCUCACCAGCCAUGUCCUCUUUCACGAGUGGCUGGGGAGAGAGUUGUAUGUGUACAGAGCACAUGUCUUCCAGAACCAAGAGCUGUGUCUCAUAAUCCCAUUUGCAGUGUAUGCAAGUUGAGAAGGGAAAACCUGACAUCCCCCUGCUCACUGGAGCUCACACAGAACCCAAAGAGUUAAGGUAGCAUUCCAACGAGCUGCAUGCGAGAGUCUCUAACAGGCUGUCCAGGGAGAGUCACUUGACCACGCUACGUUCAAUGAGAUCCCUGGCGAUAAAUCUUUCAGCAACAGGUUGAUCCCUCUCUGAAACAGACUGUCUAGCAAUGUUUCCACCUUCGGCACUUGUCGGGACGGAGUGAGUGCGAGGCGGGGGCCCGGCCACACAUGCAACCAACCGCAGACUAACACCUUGAAGGGCUUCCUCUUUCAAGGGCCGACUGGCAAUACUCUGGCUACUGCUGGGAGGGAGAGAAAAGGGAACAGUUUGCAAAGCCAAUAGUAACAGCAAACACAAUAGACCAUCUGCGAAAGGGAGUUGCUGAUCUGACUUCCAGAGGCUGAAGCAACAAGGUGAAAGGGACAGGACCCAGGACCCAGCUCCAUGUCACUUCCGAUGCCUCGCUCCUCUCAGUCUUCC